rnacentral:rRNA from 1 species
AUUGAACGCUGGCGGCAGGCUUAACACAUGCAAGUCGAACGGUAGCAGGAGAAAGCUUGCUUUCUUGCUGACGAGUGGCGGACGGGUGAGUAAUGCUUGGGAAUCUGGCUUAUGGAGGGGGAUAACUACGGGAAACUGUAGCUAAUACCGCGUAGUAUCGGAAGAUGAAAGUGCGGGACCGUAAGGCCGCAUGCCAUGAGAUGAGCCCAAGUGGGAUUAGGUAGUUGGUGGGGUAAAGGCCUACCAAGCCUGCGAUCUCUAGCUGGUCUGAGAGGAUGGCCAGCCACACUGGAACUGAGACACGGUCCAGACUCCUACGGGAGGCAGCAGUGGGGAAUAUUGCGCAAUGGGGGGAACCCUGACGCAGCCAUGCCGCGUGAAUGAAGAAGGCCUUCGGGUUGUAAAGUUCUUUCGGUAUUGAGGAAGGUUGAUGUGUUAAUAGUACAUCAAAUUGACGUUAAAUACAGAAGAAGCACCGGCUAACUCCGUGCCAGCAGCCGCGGUAAUACGGAGGGUGCGAGCGUUAAUCGGAAUAACUGGGCGUAAAGGGCACGCAGGCGGUUAUUUAAGUGAGGUGUGAAAGCCCCGGGCUUAACCUGGGAAUUGCAUUUCAGACUGGGUAACUAGAGUACUUUAGGGAGGGGUAGAAUUCCACGUGUAGCGGUGAAAUGCGUAGAGAUGUGGAGGAAUACCGAAGGCGAAGGCAGCCCCUUGGGAAUGUACUGACGCUCAUGUGCGAAAGCGUGGGGAGCAAACAGGAUUAGAUACCCUGGUAGUCCACGCUGUAAACGCUGUCGAUUUGGGGAUUGGGCUUAAAGCUUGGUGCCCGUAGCUAACGUGAUAAAUCGACCGCCUGGGGAGUACGGCCGCAAGGUUAAAACUCAUAUGAAUUGACGGGGGCCCGCACAAGCGGUGGAGCAUGUGGUUUAAUUCGAUGCAACGCGAAGAACCUUACCUACUCUUGACAUCCAUGGAAUUCUGUACAGAUACGGGAGUGCCUUCGGGAACCAUGAGACAGGUGCUGCAUGGCUGUCGUCAGCUCGUGUUGUGAAAUGUUGGGUUAAGUCCCGCAACGAGCGCAACCCUUAUCCUUUGUUGCCAGCCAUUUAGUCGGGAACUCAAAGGAAACUGCCCGUGAUUAACUUGGAGGAAGGUGGAGAUGAACUUCUAUUCAUCAUGGUCCCUAACGAUUAGGUCUACACACGUGCCUCUAUGGCGUAUAACAGAGGGUUGGCGAAAUCUGCUAGGUUGGAGUGAAUCUCAUAAAGUACUUCUUACUCUGGUUUGGUGUCUGCAACUUUAAUCUAUUGAUGUCGGAA